ensembl:lncRNA
UCAGACACGUGGACCCUGGGCAUAGCUCAUUAAGAAAAUGGAAGCUUUAUCCUAAAUUUGAGUGGCUGCAGAACUGAGGCAACGAACUCCUGGUCUGAAGGAUGCGACAACGCUUCUCCUAGGAACCAGAGCCUCGGGGGAGAGGAGGCGGAGAGCAGCCGCUUCUCCUAACGUCGAUACUGCUUUCCGUAACGCGCCGUGAGCUUCAGGUGGGUCCACAUCGUGCAAAGCAGUCCAAGGGCAGGCUGCCU